rnacentral:rRNA from 1 species
UACGAAGGGGGCUAGCGUUGUUCGGAAUUACUGGGCGUAAAGCGUGCGCAGGCGGUUUUGUAAGCCAGAUGUGAAAUCCCCGGGCUUAACCUGGGAAUGGCAUUUGGGACUGCAAGGCUGGAGUGUGGCAGAGGAGACUGGAAUUCCCGGUGUAGCAGUGAAAUGCGUAGAUAUCGGGAGGAAUACCGAUGGCGAAGGCAGGUCUCUGGGCUGACACUGACGCUCAUGCACGAAAGCGUGGGGAGCAAACAGG